UACGUAGGGUGCGAGCGUUAUCCGGAUUUACUGGGCGUAAAGCGCGUGUAGGCGGUUGCGCAAGUCGAGUGUGAAAGCCCCGAGCUUAACUUGGGAACUGCGCUCGAAACUACUUGGCUAGAGUGUGGCAGAGGGAGGUGGAAUUCCACGUGUGGCGGUGAAAUGCGUAGAGAUGUGGAGGAACACCGAUGGCGAAGGCAGCCUCCUGGGCCAACACUGACGCUCAUGCACGAAAGCGUGGGGAGCAAACAGG
rnacentral:rRNA from 1 species